rnacentral:rRNA from 1 species
UACGUAGGGUGCAAGCGUUGUCCGGAAUUAUUGGGCGUAAGAGCUCGUAGGCGUCUGCCACGUCGGGAGUGAAAACUCGGGGCUUAACUCCGAGCCUGCUUCUGAUACGGGCAGACUAGAGGUAUGCAGGGGAGAAUGGAAUUCCUGGUGUAGCGGUGAAAUGCGCAGAUAUCAGGAGGAACACCGGUGGCGAAGGCGGUUCUCUGGGCAUGACCUGACGCUGAGGAGCGAAAGUGUGGGGAGCGAACAGG